GGGGGGGGCAAGCGUUGUUUGGAAUUACUGGGCGUAAAGGGCUUGUAGGUGGCCAACUAAGUCAGACGUGAAAUCCCCAGGCUUAACCUGGGAACUGCGUUUGAUACUGGAUGGCUUGAAUUCGGGAGAGGGAUGCAGAAUUCCAGGUGUAGCGGUGAAAUGCGUAGAUAUUUGGAGGAAUACCGGUGGCGAAGGCGGCAUCCUGGACCGAGAUUGACACUGAGGAGCGAAAGCUAGGGGAGCAAACGGGAUUAGAUACCCCGGUAGUCCUAGCCCUAAACGAUGAAUGCUUGGUGUGACGGGUAUCGAUCCCUGUCGUGCCGAAGCUAACGCAUUAAGCAUUCCGCCUGGGGAGUACGGUCGCAAGGCUG
rnacentral:rRNA from 1 species